rnacentral:rRNA from 1 species
AUUGAACGCUGGCGGCAGGCUUAACACAUGCAAGUCGAACGGGUGGCGGACGGGUGAGUAAUGCUUGGGCAUCUAGCUUAUGGAGGGGGAUAACUACGGGAAACUGUAGCUAAUACCGCUUACCAUAGGAUGAGCCCAAGUGGGAUUAGGUAGUUGGUGAGGGAAAGGCUCACCAAGGCGACGAUCCAUAGCUGAUCUGAGAGGGUGACCGGCCACACUGGGACUGAGACACGGCCCAGACUCCUACGGGAGGCAGCAGUGGGGAAUAUUGCGCAAUGGGGGCAACCUGACGCAGCCAUGCCGCGUGAAUGAAGAAGGCCUUCGGUUUGUAAAGUUCUUUCGGUAGCGAGGCGUUAACUACCGAAGAAGCACCGGCUAACUACGUGCCAGCAGCCGCGGUAAUAC